UAAGGAAUAUUGGUCAAUGGACGCAAGUCUGAACCAGCCAUGCCGCGUGAAGGAUGAAGGUCCUCUGGAUUGUAAACUUCUUUUAUCUGGGACGAAAACGGGAUUUUUAUCUCAAUUGACGGUACCAGAGGAAUAAGCACCGGCUAACUCCGUGCCAGCAGCCGCGGUAAUACGGAGGGUGCGAGCGUUAUCCGGAUUUACUGGGCGUAAAGCGUGCGUAGGCGGGUCGGUAAGUGGGUCGUGAAAGCGCCGGGCUAAACCGGGCGAGGACGAACUAGACUGCCGGUCUAGAGGCGGAUAGAGGGGUGCGGAAUUCCGGGUGUAGCGGUGAAAUGUGUAGAGAUCCGGAGGAACACCAGUGGUGCAAACGGCGCCCUGGGUCCGAACUGACGCUGAGGCACGAAAGCGUGGGGAGCGAACG
rnacentral:rRNA from 1 species